rnacentral:rRNA from 1 species
UGGGGAAUUUUGGACAAUGGGCGCAAGCCUGAUCCAGCCAUGCCGCGUGCGGGAAGAAGGCCUUCGGGUUGUAAACCGCCUUUGUCAGGGAAGAAAUCUUCUGAGUUAAUACCUCGGGAGGAUGACGGUACCUGAAGAAUAAGCACCGGCUAACUACGUGCCAGCAGCCGCGGUAAUACGUAGGGUGCAAGCGUUAAUCGGAAUUACUGGGCGUAAAGCGUGCGCAGGCGGUUUUGUAAGACAGAGGUGAGAUCCCCGGGCUCAACCUGGGAACUGCCUUUGUGACUGCAAGGCUUGAGUGCGGCAGAGGGGGGAUGGAAUUCCGCGUGUAGCAGUGAAAUGCGUAGAUAUGCGGAGGAAACACCGAUGGCGAAGGCCAAUCCCCUGGGCCUGCACUGACGCUCAUGCACGAAAGCGUGGGGAGCAAACAGGAUUAGAUACCCCUGGUAGUCCACGCCCUAAACGAUGUCAACUGGUUGUUGGGAAGGUUCCCUUCUCAGUAACGUAGCUAACGCGUGAAGUUG